GUCUGUCUUCUUCUGUAGUCAAACCGUAAGAUAUCAAAAUCUACCCGGAUACAGCAAUGCUGCUUUUUUAUUGGCUGUUCAGUAGAUAUACUUUAUUUAAUUUGCUUGUGCGUGGCACGCAGCUUCUGAACUCUCAGAGGAACUCAGUUGAUUCCUACCUGUUCCAUAGUUAAAGAGGCGCAACUUGGUGGACAUCACCAUGUUCAUUUAAAUGCGUGAGAAAUACAAUGUGUGGCGUGUGAACGGGUGGGAAUGCGUGUGUCACACGCUGAAUGCGUGAGACUUGAGAGCCCUGGUAUA